GUCUCAGGCCGUAUCAGCCUGAAGGCGCUCGAUCUCGUCUGAUCUCGGAAGCUAAGCAGGGUCGGGCCUGGUUAGUAUCUUGGAUGGGAGACCACCUGGGAAUCCCGGGUGCUCGAGGCU
ensembl:rRNA 5S_rRNA 5S ribosomal RNA